UGCUGGUCAGCGUAGAAGAGAUAGAAAAAUUAUUACAGCAAUAUGAAAAUUUUAAACAUCAACGGACUCAUGAAUUAGAAAAAGAAGAUCAAGAUGUCAUUAUUCAAAUAUUUUUAAAUUGUAGAAACAUAAUUGAUCCAAAAGUUGACAGAACUAUUGUUAAUUUAAUAAACUAUAAAAAAUCAUUACAAAUUAUACUUAAGUAUCUACCUUUUUGUCCUAAAAUGAAAAAAGAAAUUACAGAAAAAAAAAUAUAUAAAAAAUUGUUAUUAGGAUGCGAUUUAGAUCAAUAUUUUUCAAUCUUAAUGACUGACAUUCGCAAUCCUGUUAUUAAAAAACCAAUCAGUCCUGGAAGACCAGAUCCUUCUACGGAUGUAGUAGUUUAUAAUGGCGUAUUAACUGCUAAUGGUAUGGUUGCGGAUAAUGGCGUAGUUGCUACUAAUGGUGUGACUGAUGCUAUUGGUGUGGCUGAUGUUAAUGGUGUGGCUGAUGAUAAUGGUGUGACUGAUGUUAAUGGUGUGGCUGAUGUUAAUGGUGUGGCUGAUGCUAUUGGUGUGACUGAUGAUAAUGGUGUGACUGAUGAUAAUGGUGUGACUGAUGAUAAUGGUGUGACUGAUGCUAAUGGUGUGACUGAUGAUAAUGGUGUGACUGAUGCUCAUGGCGUGCUUGCUACUAAUGGCGUGGUUGAUACUAAUAUUAUCAGAAACUGUGAUUAUAGUAACUUAACAGAUCGCACUAAUAAUAUAACAAUUUCUAGUAGCCAUCUCAGGAAUGCUGCCUCGUGUAGUCCUAACGAUUUGAACAAAAAUAUUGUUUCGAUAUAUCAUGAAAUUAGCAAACUUGAACUAAAAUUUUUAGCUCAUUUGGUUGCGCUUAAUAAAAAUAAUAUUGAUAUAUUUUCUUUCAUUUAUCCGCAUUAUUUUUAUUAUCUUAUGUGUACUCCAUAUGAUAUGGACGACGUAUUCAUGCUUUUUAACAAUUUAAUAUUAAAUGAUAAAGGGUAUGAAUAUGUAACAGGA
rnacentral:lncRNA from 1 species